rnacentral:lncRNA from 1 species
CUAAUAUGAUACCUUGAAUAAGACAAUUUUGCCUUGUGAUUCCUGAGUCAAUAACUUUGGAAAUUGCAACGACAUUCAAAUAUUCCAAUAAAAUAAUUAUCCAUAUAGACAUUUCUACAUUAUAUGCAUCAAGGACACUUAUCAAUGAAGUAGUUUUCUUAGGUUAAAAGACGAAGCAGAGUUGACUUAAGAAGGAAAGAACUCAAUAACUUCAAUUAAGGAGCAGUAGAUUUAAGAUGAGAACUAUCCCUAUUCCUCACUGGAUCUUUUAUUCGAUUAUUCUGUCGUUUUAUGGAACUCCAUAGUUCUUAUAUGUAGAAGUAUACGAUGAUCUAGUAAAAGAUCUGGAAUAAUUUGUAUAUUCUGGAGCAUACAGGCAAUAAUUCACGAGGUCAGAAGUAUACACCUUGAUGUUAAGCACACUUGUACAAUGCAGGAUUAUUCCAUAAAAGAAGAUGAUAUCCACCGAGUGGGUCACAAAGACUAAAAGGCAAUAUCCCUUUGACAUGAAAUUGAAGAGAGGAUCAGAAGACAUAUUGGAUAUCCAAAUGAGGAAAAAUAUGAAUUCCUAGGAACAGAAUGGAUGAGUGAACUCUCUCCAUUUCCUAUUUGUUUGUGCCAGAUCGUGUUAUCCUUGCCAAGAUUUAUUGACUCUCCUAAUAGUUGGUUGAUUAAAGUUUUUUAGAAGGCGGAGUUGAUUACAAUCCUGGUAUUUCUUGAAAUGUUAAAUGUAUCAAGUAGCUGUAAAUUAAUACAUAUAACAUCUAGCAAAACUAAUUAUAGUAUUCAACAAAAUUAAUUACCUAAAGGCUUAAUAAAGAAACAUCAGAUCAGAAAACUUGAUUGAGGUGGUAGGGCAUAUUCUUCAUCUUCUUGUUCCAAUUCGAAAUCAUCACCUUUUGAAUCAGAGAUCGAUGAAGCCACUAGACAAUGCCUUAUUUCUUCUGCCCUGAGGUAAAGAGGUUGUCACCCAAGAUUUCCCUAAGGAUGGUCCAGCCUCCCUUUGAUGUGUUAAAGUUAUCAUCUCCCCUUCGCAGAGAAACACUCCCGAAACAUAAUGUUUCCACCACCAUGCUUGGCGGUACGGAUUUUUCUUCCUCCAAACAUUUUUUUUUCUUUUUUUCUUGCUGAAAAUUAUUCUUUUGUGGUUCAAGAUGAGGUCCAGAGUUUUCAUUGCAACAACCUCAUGUAUACGCUCCAUCCAGUUGUAAUUUACUACCGAAAUGACUUGUCGUACACCAUCAUCUCUGAUGACAACAAGCAUGAUGUGCAUUAUGUGUACAAGGUUUUAGAUAUUAUCAUCAAUGAUCUCAAGGAAAAAAAUCCGUUGAGUAUGAUUUCUGUUUUUCCCAGUUUGUUGUGCUGGACAGAACAAAAAUAGAAAAAAACUUUUUAAUCUCUGCCAAAUUGAACAUGAAUUUGGUUUGAAAGUUCAUUAAAACUUUUUUGUGACAUCUCACGGAAAAUCUCCAUGGGACGGAAUCGGCGGGACUGUGACAGGACUCACUGGAGCAGAAAGUCUGACUAGACAACAAUCAUAUUUUGACAAAAAAAGGUUAUUCAGCAGAAGGAAAUGACCCAACUCUGCACUCUUUACAUGCUGAUCGGUAUGCAAACAUUGAAGAUUCUAUUCCUGGUACAAGAUCUUAUCAUCAUUUCAUUCCAAUAAGUCGUGACAAAAUUGGAGCUAAACGAUGCAGUGAAGAUGUUGAAUUUGCUCACACUCACAAUUUUAAUGAAGUGUUCUGUCUAGAAGAAGAGAUUGUUGUGGGAUCAUAUGCUGCUGUCAUGUAUGAUCAUUGUUGGUAGAUUGCCUUGAUCCUUCAGAAAAAUGAUGCUGAAUGAGAUGUUCGAGUAAAAUGUAUGCACCCUAAAGGUUCAUCUUAAUUAUCUCAUUGGCCUCAACGUGAAGAUAUUUGCUUCAUACCAAAUGAUGUUGUGCUUAAGUUGAUUGGUGUACCAAAUUUUCAAACUCUUGACGAAACUAUUCCAUUAAUGAUAACGAAAAGCAAAUAAUAAUCAAUAAAUUCAAUCUAUUUUUAAGGAAACAAUAACCUCAUUAUAUUAAUCAAAUUGUAAUUAUUCCCUAAUUUGUUAUAUGGUAUUAAAAAGUAUGAACAAGUUUCAUUAAGCUUAUACAAUA